UAUCUAUAAAAGAUUUUUUCUAGUACGAAAGGACCGAAAAAAUAGAGCCCCUUAAUAAACAAAGCUCUCAUACUGCUGAAAACAAAUAAAGGCCCCCACAAAAUACACCUUAAGAACAAAGGACAA
rnacentral:rRNA from 1 species